GCCACUACUACAAGCUGUUCUUCCUGGAAUACACAUGCAGGCUGCCUUGAGGUUAGCAGGUCUCAAGACAAAAAGUUGACAUUUAGAGGAUGUAAGACUAUCUAGUGAGUUGCAAAAUAUCCGCAAUGUCAGUUUAUGAAACUGUCUAUAAUUAUUAUGUACCUUGUGUUUCAACUUUGACUUUCAAUCUGUCAAUCUCAUUUCUUUGGGCUCCCUACCAUUUAGCAGAUUACUGAGCACAAUACAUAUUACCACCCAAUAAAUGUAGAAUAUCUACUGAGGAUGACAAAUAGUUAUCAAGACCAUUUGUAGAGGUAAAGGAAAUAUCAGACUGCCCCAAGAUAUAUGAAGACCCAGCUAUGCCAUAGCAGGGACCACAGAAAUUGAGAAGUUCCCUUACAUGCAGUGCCUUGUGACUAAUGGAUGGCCAAGAAGCUAAAAAUAGAAAUCAGGUUUGAGAAUGGAAGAAAAGAUGUCUAUGAAAAUUUCAGGACUGUGUCAUUGAUGCUAUCUUUCUCCAGUGACUCACUUCAACAUACAUGACUACUGACCCAACAUUGUCAGAGAAAGAAGGCUCCUCUAUUACACCUUUGACUGCAGCUGGCAUCAUAAGAUACAAGUAAGUUGAAAUAGAUGUGGGUGGAAGUGGGUGGAAAAACCACUAUUUUAGAAAUGU
rnacentral:lncRNA from 12 species